UUGAGUUUUAGUAUUGGCUCCACGUGGUUAUGAGCAUGCGUAAUUCUUUGUGAUUCCUCCUGGCAGGGUAUUGCUUCCACCUCCUGCCCUGUCGUCCAGUGUGAAGCCUCAUGAUCAAAUGUAAGGCAGACCUAAGUGACGAUGGGGUUUGGCGUGAAGCAGACCUGGGUUUGAAUCAGAGAUCUUGGACAGAAUCUUUCUGCUCUCUGGGUUUCAGUUUUCUCCAGAACAGCUGCUUCAAGAUGCCCUUGUGAGCGGAAACCGAAAGGACAUCUGCAGAGCACAUGGAAGCCAGAAGUGCAAAAUCAAGGUGCUGGCUGGCAGGUGAUUUCCUUCUGGAGGCCCUGGAGAUCUGUUCAUGCUUGUCUUCCCGCUGCUGGUGGCUGCAGGCAGUGCUCGGAGUUCCUUAGCUAGUAGAUGGGCUAUGCCCACCUCUGCCUCCACUCCCAUCACCUGUGUGUGUCUCCUCUCUUCUUAGGACACUAGGCCCAAAACCCCAGGGGGCGCUUUAGCCUGCAUCCCUUUGCCACAGGCUGCACUCUGUAUCAUUGUCAGUAAUUCACACUUGCAGUUCAAAAGACUUACUGGGACUAACUGGUAAGAGGGGAAGGGCAGUGUGGACAGCCUAUGGCGGUGUGGUGUGAAGUACUCCUGCCUGCCAGCUCUCGGUGUCAUAGUCUCUUCCCCACGUCCUAUACUGCCUCACCCACACCACAGGGCUGCGCUAAGGCACGUGGGUCCCACACAGGUCCUGGUCCCACUGACACUGUCCCCAUUGUAGCACUUUCCCAACGGGAACACUUCUUACCAUCAGAAGAUGUACUACACCUACUUGAAACAUCUUAUAAAUAGAUCUUGUAGUACCUGUUACAACCAUUUGGGUGUAUGGGAUGUCCAUUAAAUAAAGUUACUUUCAAAGACCACAGUGGGGCAAUUCCUUUUUGUUA